ensembl:lncRNA
GCAAGGCGCAUCUCAAACAAGCCUUUUGUUUUCCUCGCGCAGAAGUGAUUAACCGCGCGCGCAAGCAUCAGUUGUACGCUCGGUUAUUAAUGGCAGUGAAAUGCCGCCAUAGUGAUGUGGGUUCACUGUGUGUGAGAGAGAACAUGAUCUUUACGCUAUUUAUAUGUUACAGUGUCUUAAUGAUUGUAACUGAAGGAGCAUCAGUGAAAGUUCAUCCAGGAGGAAACACAACACUUCCCUGUAGCAUUAAAAAUGAUACAGAGAUUAACUGGAUCAUUACGAAUGGAAACCAAACAUUUGUAAGAAUUCUGAAACUAGAAUAUCUUUAUGGAGGUAAAUUUAAACCAGAGCCCUCCAUUAUUCACCCCAGUUAUGCAGGAUAGAUAAGAGCUCUCAGUUCAUCCACGAACACUCACUCUCUGCUUCUGAUGACCAUCACUGACACUGAUCUCAUGCUCUACUGCUGCACUGACUAUAAGACUGAGAAAACUCACUGCACAAAACUGGACUAUGAAGGUAUUAUUUUUCUCUUCAUAUUUUUC